rnacentral:lncRNA from 1 species
AUUCAUUGAGAAUCCAUAAUUCGAAGGCAGUUGCUUGCAGUUCCUAUCACUUCCACUGGAUGUCAACAGUCUUUAGAAAUUGGUUGAUGUUUUUCCUUUGUGUAAUGUAGAAGUAGCCCUGUUCAGAAUGAGGCUCAAGGGAAGUAUGCUGUUUGAUAGAGGCGCGUGACCUGAAAAGCAUGCUCCACUUUGUUUUCCUCCGAGGACCUGAGCCCUAGGACCAUGCCUCAGGACUACCUGGCCUGAUGACUCCUUGCAGUCCACCUGGUCGUGCUGCUGCUCCAGUUUCAACUGUUCUGCCUGCGGCUAUGGAACCCUGACCUGUUCACCGGAUGUGCUACCUUGUCCCAGACCUGCUGUUUUCGACUCUCUCUCUACCGCACCUGCUGUCUCUAACUCUGAAUGCUUGGCUAUGAAAAGCCAACUGACAUUUACUACUGAGGGCCAAGAGGACCUGGGCUUGAUGUCCGUGAUCCUCCACAGAGGCGAGGGAUUUCUAAAGUCUUACGGAGGACUUGAGACAGACACCUUGCAAAUUCCAAAGAAAAAAUAACUGCGGUGCUUGGAUCCAGUUGGUUAAACUAGUCAAGGAGGUGGAAGAAAAUCCCACAAUCCCUUGCUCUACCUCCCUCUGCGCUGAACAUCCACACCUGCUCUCAUACAUCAAACAGAUACAAUAUCAGUGGUCUUCCUCUGAGGCCUUUUCAAGGUGCAGUGGAGGUCUUAAACCAUGUGCCAAUCCAUCCUUUCCCUCAGCACAGGGUCAACCAGUGCACCCACCCACCACAACGAGGUAGGAGGGUCCCUCUUCUCACCCUUUCACUCGCUGCAAAUACAUGGCUGCCUCAUUUUCAACCAAUAAAGCACAUGGGGCCUGAGAGCUCAACCAAGCAGCUUGAACCACUGACUAUGGGGCCUGAGAGCUCAACCAAGCAGCUUGAACCACUGACUAUGGGGCCUGAGAGCUCAACCAAGCAGCUUGAACCACUGACUAUGGGGCCUGAGAGCUCAACCAAGCAGCUUGAACCACUGACUAUGGGG